rnacentral:rRNA from 1 species
GAUGAACGCUGGCGGCGUGCCUAAUACAUGCAAGUCGAGCGAAUGGAUUAAGAGCUUGCUCUUAUGAAGUUAGCGGCGGACGGGUGAGUAACACGUGGGUAACCUGCCCAUAAGACUGGGAUAACUCCGGGAAACCGGGGCUAAUACCGGAUAACAUUUUGAACCGCAUGGUUCGAAAUUGAAAGGCGGCUUCGGCUGCAACUUAUGGAUGGACCCGCGUCGCAUUAGCUAGUUGGUGAGGUAACGGCUCACCAAGGCAACGAUGCGUAGCCGACCUGAGAGGGUGAUCGGCCACACUGGGACUGAGACACGGCCCAGACUCCUACGGGAGGCAGCAGUAGGGAAUCUUCCGCAAUGGACGAAAGUCUGACGGAGCAACGCCGCGUGAGUGAUGAAGGCUUUCGGGUCGUAAAACUCUGUUGUUAGGGAAGAACAAGUGCUAGUUGAAUAAGCUGGCACCUUGACGGUACCCAACCAGAAAGCCACGGCUAACUACGUGCCAGCCGCCGCCGUAA